rnacentral:rRNA from 1 species
CUGCUGCCUCCCGUAGGAGUCUGGGCCGUGUCUCAGUCCCAAUGUGGCCGUUCAACCUCUCAGUCCGGCUACUGAUCGUCGCCUUGGUGGGCCGUUACCCCGCCAACUAGCUAAUCAGACGCGAGCUCAUCUUUGGACGAUAAAUCUUUGGCAUCCGGAUCAUGCGAUCCCGAUGCGUCAUGCGGUAUUAGCAGUCGUUUCCGGCUGUUAUCCCACAUCCAAAGGCAGAUUGCUCACG